rnacentral:rRNA from 1 species
AUUGAACGCUGGCGGCAGGCCUAACACAUGCAAGUCGAGCGGAUGAAGGGAGCUUGCUCCUGGAUUCAGCGGCGGACGGGUGAGUAAUGCCUAGGAAUCUGCCUGGUAGUGGGGGAUAACGUCCGGAAACGGGCGCUAAUACCGCAUACGUCCUGAGGGAGAAAGUGGGGGAUCUUCGGACCUCACGCUAUCAGAUGAGCCUAGGUCGGAUUAGCUAGUUGGUGGGGUAAAGGCCUACCAAGGCGACGAUCCGUAACUGGUCUGAGAGGAUGAUCAGUCACACUGGAACUGAGACACGGUCCAGACUCCUACGGGAGGCAGCAGUGGGGAAUAUUGGACAAAGGGCGAAAGCCUGAUCCAGCCAUGCCGCGUGUGUGAAGAAGGUCUUCGGAUUGUAAGGCACUUUAAGUUGGGAGGAAGGGCAGUAAGUUAAUACCCUGCUGUUUUGACGUUACCAACAGAAUAAGCACCGGCUAACUUCGUG